rnacentral:lncRNA from 1 species
CCUCCCAUGUUGUUCUGCGGUGGUGCUCCUCCAUAGUUCGGUGGAGGCGCUCCUCCGUAGUUUGGUGGUGGUGCUCCUCCCAUGUUGUUUUGUGGUGGCGUUCCUCCUCCGUAGUUCGGUGGUGGUGGUCCUCCAUAGUUCGGUGGUGGUGGUGGUGCGCCUCCGUAGUUUGCUGGAGGCCUCUGCCCUCCCAUAUUGUUAUGUGGCGGUGGUGGUCCUCCAUAGUUUGGUGGAGGCCUUUGUCCAUAAUUCUGCCCCAUGGGAGGUGGAGGGGGUGCAGAGCCACCCAUGUGAGGUGGAGGAGGGCCACCCAUGGGAGGACGUUGAGGAGGAGGGCCUCCAGCCAUGUUCUCUCUUCUCCUCUCAAAAUUUCUGCUUCUAUCAAAGUUUUUAGGACGGUCAUUGCGCCUGUUUCUUUCAUUGGCUCUAGCAUUGUUCCUUAUCCAUUCCUCGUGGUACUUGGGGUCAU